GACGAACGCUGGCGGCGUGCUUAACACAUGCAAGUCGAACGGAAAGGCCCUGCUUUUGUGGGGUGCUCGAGUGGCGAACGGGUGAGUAACACGUGAGUAACCUGCCCUUGACUUUGGGAUAACUUCAGGAAACUGGGGCUAAUACCGGAUAGGAGCUCCUGCUGCAUGGUGGGGGUUGGAAAGUUUCGGCGGUUGGGGAUGGACUCGCGGCUUAUCAGCUUGUUGGUGGGGGUAGUGGCUUACCAAGGCUUUGACGGGUAGCCGGCCUGAGAGGGUGACCGGCCACAUUGGGACUGAGAUACGGCCCAGACUCCUACGGGAGGCAGCAGUGGGGAAUAUUGCACAAUGGGCGGAAGCCUGAUGCAGCAACGCCGCGUGCGGGAUGACGGCCUUCGGGUUGUAAACCGCUUUCGCCUGUGACGAAGCGUGAGUGACGGUAAUGGGUAAAGAAGCACCGGCUAACUACGUG
rnacentral:rRNA from 1 species